GUGCCAGCAGCCGCGGUAAUACGAGAGGCCCAAACGUUAUUCGGAAUUACUGGGCUUAAAGAGUUCGUAGGCGGCAUGAAAAGUAGGGUGUGAAAGCCCUCGGCUCAACCGAGGAAUUGCGCUCUAAACUGUCGUGCUAGAGGAACCUAGAGGUGAGCAGAACUGAUGGUGGAGCGGUGAAAUGCGUUGAUAUCAUCAGGAAUACCGGAGGCGAAGGCGGCUCACUGGGGGUUUUCUGACGCUGAGGAACGAAAGCCAGGGGAGCGAACGGGAUUAGAUACCCCGGUAGUCC
rnacentral:rRNA from 1 species